CCUACGGGAGGCAGCAGUGGGGAAUAUUGGACAAUGGGGGCAACCCUGAACCAGCGACGCCGCGUGCGUGAAGAAGGAUCUAGGAGCGUAAAGCUCUAUCAGCAGGAAAGAAAAUGACGGUACCUGAAUCAGAAGCCCCGGCUAACUACGUGCCAGCAGCGGCGGUAAUACGCAGGGGGCAAGCGUUAUCCGGAUUUACUGGGUGUAAUGGGGGCGUAGACGGCCGUGCAAGUCUGGAGUGAAAUGCCGGGGCGCAACCCCGGAACUGCUCGUGAAACUGUGCGGCUGGAGUGCAGGAGCGGUAGGCGGAAUUCCUGGUGUAGCGGUGAAAUGCGUAGAGAUCAGGAGGAACACCGGUGGCGAAGGCGGCUUACUGGACUGCAACUGACGUUGAGGCACGAAAGCGUGGGGAGCAAACAGGAUUAGAUACCCGAGUAGUC
rnacentral:rRNA from 1 species